rnacentral:rRNA from 1 species
AUGGCAGAGUCCGACCAAGCUGUAACAGCUUUCAUAACGCCAUACGGCCCUUUUUGCUUCAACACUAUGCCUUUCAGGCUUAAGAAUGCCGGAGCAACCUAUCAACGCAUGAUUCAAACAUGCCUGGAAAAGCAAAUCGGCAAAACAGUGGAGGCAUAUGUGGACGACGUAGUCGCUAAAACAAGACACGUCGAAACCCUAAUUGAUGACUUGAGGCUUACGUUCAUCAACUUACGAACAUACGACAUCAAGCUGAAUCCGGAGAAAUGCGUUUUCGGCAUCCCCUCUGGAAAGCUGCUGGGCUUCAUCGUUUCCAAUAGAGGAAUUGAAGCUAAUCCGGCAAAAAUCCGAGCUUUGUCACAGUUGGCUAUACCAACAGACCUCAAACACAUCCAGAAAUUAGCUGGAUGA